CACUGGCAGCUGGUUUCAACAAGAGAGAAGACCCCUUCUUUUGCUUCUUCGGUUGGUUCAUGAUUGUGAACACAUUCCUCCAGGAAUGCAAUGCUGAACUGACACUGCCACCGCUUUCCUCUCGCAUUGGCCAAAUGUGAAGGGUGGCUGAGAGAAGAGGAGGGGUAUCCAGUUACCUUGCUAUAAGGUCUCGCAUUAUCCUGUCCACCCUCUGCUCUUGCCGCAGCCAGCCCUUGCUCAGGGAACAAGAGAUAUCUGAAUUUCCCACCUUCAGGUGAAAAACAGAAUCUGUCAUCAUGUCUGAGGAAGAAGUUGAGUAUGAGGAGGAGCAGCAGGAAGGUAAGGGAUAUCUA